AGGACGAACGCUGGCGGCGUGCUUAACACAUGCAAGUCGAGCGGUGAUCCUCCUUCGGGAGGUGAGCAGCGGCGAACGGGUGAGUAACACGUGGGCAACCUGCCCCUCACACUGGGAUAACCUCGGGAAACCGGGGCUAAUACCGGAUAUGACCUCGAGCGGCAUCUCUUGAGGUGGAAAGCUCCGACGGUGAGGGAUGGGCCCGCGGCCUAUCAGCUUGGUUGGUGGGGUAAUGGCCUACCAAGGCGACGACGGGUA
rnacentral:rRNA from 1 species